AGUGAACGCUGGCGGUAGGCCUAACACAUGCAAGUCGAACGGCAGCACAGUAAGAGCUUGCUCUUACGGGUGGCGAGUGGCGGACGGGUGAGGAAUACAUCGGAAUCUACUUUUUCGUGGGGGAUAACGUAGGGAAACUUACGCUAAUACCGCAUACGACCUACGGGUGAAAGCAGGGGAUCUUCGGACCUUGCGCGAUUGAAUGAGCCGAUGUCGGAUUAGCUAGUUGGCGGGGUAAAGGCCCACCAAGGCGACGAUCCGUAGCUGGUCUGAGAGGAUGAUCAGCCAAACUGGAACUGAGACACGGUCCAGACUCCUAAGGGAGGCAGCAGUGGGGAAUAUUGGAAAAUGGGCGCAAGCCUGAUCCAGCCAUACCGCGUGGGUGAAGAAGGCCUUCGGGUUGUAAAGCCCUUUUGUUGGGAAAGAAAAGCAGCAGGUUAAUACCCCGCUGUUCUGACGGUACCCAAAGAAUAAGCACCGGCUAACUUCGUG
rnacentral:rRNA from 1 species